CAUAGAGCCAGAAGAGCAGACACCCACCCUUGAGGAAGUGGACACGUCCGAGUCUGAUGAUGACGCACAGACACCCUCCGUCAUUGGAUCCUCAGACGAAGAGAUGGAAACACCCAGGAAGAGGAAGCUGAGGAGGGUUGUCAUCGUCCCUCAGAAGGACAGAAAACCGACACCCCAUAGGUAUAAGAGUGAACUUACGCUAGGGGUGGUGUCCUGUGGACUUACGCCAGUCUGCACUUGAGUGGGGUUGUGGGCAGCCAACUACGCUAGUCUUCAGAACAGCAGUGAAGUUACACGGUGAGUGGGGUUCUGGGCAGCCAAGAGUGGACUUACGCUAGUCUUUAGUUCAUCAGGGACGGUCUGGGCAGCCAUGUGUGGACUUACGCUAGUAGGGGUAUCAGGGACGAUUAUUAGGGACGCUUAUAGGGGUCUGGGCGGCCAAGAGUGGACUUACGCCCCCCAAGCAUGCAUUCAUCGGCCACAACCGACUGUACCUAAGUUAGCCUGGCAGCCAACGUCAGAAAAAAUUGGUGCCAGUUGUUCUCGUGCCUGCCAAGUUUAUUUAAAUAAUAGUAGACGAAUACCAAAGUUUACCUCUUGUGGAAUGUUCUCAUGGCAUUCUCGGACAUGCCUCAUGAGAACUGCGUUGCACGUCCCUCUCAGUUGCACGUCCCUCUCAUACUCUUCCAUAGCCACACACUUGCAGCCACCUACAUGUUGCAGCCACCAUGGAUGACAUGAAGAAGAUGCUAUACAAACAAGUAAAGGACAGCUGAAAGCAAGUAUGCUGUAAAAUGCUGUAGAAAUGACUGACGUAUAGACUUAUUAGGCUGUGUUGUAUCAUCUUACACAUAAUCUCCUUUGAAUGAAGUUCAAGACAGCUACAUUUUUUCAAUUUUGUCAAAAGUGUUAUCGAGCUGAGGAAGGUAAGAUAUAUUUACUGUAUGCUUGUACAUACAUGUACUCUGAUGAUCAGUUGUUCAGCGCCUCCGAGGUUAGUAUUAUUCUUGCAAUGAUGUGCACUAGCACAGUUUCUUCCAUAAUUA